rnacentral:rRNA from 1 species
UACGGAAUGUGCAACCGUUAUUCGGAAUCACUGGGCUUAAAGAGUCCGUAGGCGGCAUGUUAGGUGAGGUGUGAAAUCCCCCGGCUCAACCGAGGAAUUGCGCUUCAAACCGGCGUGCUAGAGGAAGAUAGAGGUGGGCGGAACUGAUGGUGGAGCGGUGAAAUGCGUUGAUAUCAUCAGGAACACCGGAGGCGAAAGCGGCCCACUGGGUCUUUUCUGACGCUGAGGGACGAAAGCUAGGGGAGCGAACGGG